rnacentral:rRNA from 1 species
UACGUAGGGGGCAAGCGUUAUCCGGAUUUACUGGGUGUAAAGGGAGCGUAGACGGCAUGGCAAGCCAGAUGUGAAAUACCGGGGCUCAACCCCGGGACUGCAUUUGGAACUGUUAAGCUGGAGUGUCGGAGAGGCAGGCGGAAUUCCUAGUGUAGCGGCGAAAUGCGUAGAUAUUAGGAGGAACACCAGUGGCGAAGGCGGCCUGCUGGACGAUAACUGACGUUGAGGCUCGAAAGCGUGGGGAGCAAACAGG